rnacentral:rRNA from 1 species
UACGUAGGUGGCAAGCGUUGUCCGGAUUUAUUGGGUUUAAAGGGUGCGUAGGCGGCAUUUUAAGUCAGUGGUGAAAUACUUCAGCUUAACUGGAGAGGUGCCAUUGAUACUGGGAUGCUUGAGUACUGAUGAGGUAGGCGGAAUGGACGGUGUAGCGGUGAAAUGCGUAGAGAUCGGGAGGAACAUCAGUGGCGAAGGCGGCCAUCUGGGACAACACUGACGCUGAAGCACGAAAGCGUGGGGAGCAAACAGG